GAUCCUGGCUCAGAUUGAACGCUGGCGGCAUGCUUUACACAUGCAAGUCGGACGGCAGCAUCAAGAAGCUUGCUUCUUGGAUGGCGAGUGGCGAACGGGUGAGUAAUGCAUCGGAAUGUACCGAGUAAUGGGGGAUAACUAAUCGAAAGAUUAGCUAAUACCGCAUACGACCUGAGGGUGAAAGCAGGGGAUCUUCGGACCUUGCGUUAUUCGAGCAGCCGAUGUCGGAUUAGGUAGUUGGUGGGGUAAAGGCCUACCAAGCCGACGAUCCGUAGCGGGUCUGAGAGGAUGAUCCGCCACAUUGGGACUGAGACACGGCCCAAACUCCUACGGGAGGCAGCAGUGGGGAAUUUUGGACAAUGGGGGCAACCCUGAUCCAGCCAUGCCGCGUGUCUGAAGAAGGCCUUCGGGUUGUAAAGGACUUUUGUACGGGAAGAAAAGGGAAAUGCUAAUAUCAUUUUCUGCUGACGGUACCGUAAGAAUAAGCACCGGCUAACUACGUGCC
rnacentral:rRNA from 1 species